UACGAAGGGGGGCUAGCGUUGCUCGGAAUCACUGGGCGUAAAGCGCACGUAGGCGGAUCUUUAAGUCAGGGGUGAAAUCCUGGAGCUCAACUCCAGAACUGCCUUUGAUACUGAGGAUCUUGAGUCCGGGAGAGGUGAGUGGAACUCCGAGUGUAGAGGUGAAAUUCGUAGAUAUUCGGAAGAACACCAGUGGCGAAGGCGGCUCACUGGCCCGGUACUGACGCUGAGGUGCGAAAGCGUGGGGGAGCAAACAGG
rnacentral:rRNA from 1 species